CCCUACGGGGAGGCAGCAGUAGGGGAAUCUUCGGCAAUGGGGGCAACCCUGACCGAGCAACGCCGCGUGAGUGAAGAAGGUUUUCGGAUCGUAAAGCUCUGUUGUAAGUCAAGAACGGGUGUGAGAGUGGAAAGUUCACACUGUGACGGUAGCUUACCAGAAAGGGACGGCUAACUACGUGCCAGCAGCCGCGGUAAUACGUAGGUCCCGAGCGUUGUCCGGAUUUAUUGGGCGUAAAGCGAGCGCAGGCGGUUUGAUAAGUCUGAAGUUAAAGGCUGUGGCUCAACCAUAGUUCGCUUUGGAAACUGUCAAACUUGAGUGCAGAAGGGGAGAGUGGAAUUCCAUGUGUAGCGGUGAAAUGCGUAGAUAUAUGGAGGAACACCGGUGGCGAAAGCGGCUCUCUGGUCUGUAAACUGACGCUGAGGCUCGAAAGCGUGGGGANCGAACAGGAUUAGAUACCCUGGUAGUCCACGCCGUAAACGAUGAGUGNUAGUGUGUAUCUUCGGUAGUCNGUGCGCAGCUACGCGAGUAGACGACGCCGCCG
rnacentral:rRNA from 1 species